AGGACGAACGCUGGCGGCGUGCUUAACACAUGCAAGUCGAGCGGAAAGGCCCUUCGGGGUACUCGAGCGGCGAACGGGUGAGUAACACGUGAGUAAUCUGCCCCUAGCUCUGGGAUAGCUCCGGGAAAACCGGGAUUAAUACCGGAUAUGACCACUUUAGACAUCUGCUGUGGUGGAAAGAAUUUCGGCUAGGGAUGAGCUCGCGGCCUAUCAGCUUGUUGGUGGGGUAACGGCCUACCAAGGCGACGACGGGUAGCCGGCCUGAGAGGGCGACCGGCCACACUGGGACUGAGACACGGCCCAGACUCCUACGGGAGGCAGCAGUGGGGAAUAUUGCGCAAUGGGCGAAAGCCUGACGCAGCGACGCCGCGUGGGGGAUGAAGGCCUUCGGGUUGUAAACCCCUUUCAGCAGGGACGAAGCGAAAGUGACGGUACCUGCAGAAGAAGCGCCGGCUAACUACGCGCAGCAGCCGC
rnacentral:rRNA from 1 species